UAGCAUCACCGGAACCAAUGGGCC
rnacentral:piRNA from 1 species